UUAUUUACGUUUGGUAAAAUUAGAAGUGCUUACAAGCCAAAAGCUUUGGUAUCCCAACUUAUCAAACUUUUGGUUAUAAACAUUUUAGGUUUGACCAAAAUAUUUAUUAUUCUAUACCUAAAAUACUUUAAUUUAAAACAAAACUUUCGUAUACUAAAUCAGCUAAGGUAAGUCAAACAGGCUCUUACAGUUCUCUUCAUUCCCAUCUCUCUCUUCCUGGUAAGUGGUUCUUCUUCACUUUUCGGUUUUGCUCUUAUUUUAAUUUUCUGGUUUCGUUUUAUAAUUUUUUCUUAAUCUUUUGAAGAUGGUCACUCUAUUCUGAAACACAGGAAUUUGAUUUUCACCUCCCUUUCCGUUUGUUCUUCUUCCUCUACACAAUUAAAAUUUAUGAUUAUGUCUGGUUUGAACACAAGUCACAGGAAUAGAGCCACGUGUUUGUAAAAUUUUAGUAAAUGUUUACUCUAAGACAUUAACUUUGAGAUGGACUUUCUACUAAAAAAAUGAGAAAUGCACACAUACGAAGAAAAUAGUUUUCUGUUUGUUCUUUUAGCUAUGCAGGCCUUCACACAUUCUCUUCUUAUUCGUUGGAAUAGCUAGCAUAUUUUUUACCAGAGAUUUGGGAUUCGGCUGAAGUUCUUUGCCGGUCCACCUUUGCUAAGAGAGAGAACAAUAACAUGAACACAUGCAUAGUCAUAUUGUCACCUCUAGAAACCCAAAUGUUUGACACUAUUAGUACUUGUAUUCUUUUCAUCUUUUUUCCUUUUUCUAUUUUUACACCCCAAAUAUGGGAGAUUAUUAAUAUGGAGAUGUAGAGAUAGCAAGGAGUUUUGAGGUUUAUAGUUGGCGUGACACAAAAUAAGGUAAUCCUAGCUUGAUUCUUUGGUUGCCAGUUGGGUAAGGCGCAAUUUGAUUUUAUACAGAAGGACUUCUAAAUUCAGGUUGUUCUAUCCUCAAAGAUUCAUUCUGCAAUGUGCGGUUGUAACUGUUUGGAUUUAAUGUCUUCAAUUUUAUUAGUUGGAAUAUGAUAGCCUUGCAAUUUUGAUGGACAGAUUUUUUAAGAAAGCACAUGUACUCAAGAGGGAAAAGAUGAGCACCUCUUUAACGGUAAGAGGUAAUUUUCGCAUUUUGUUUCGCAUUAUUGAACUAUGAAUGGUUUUUCAUAGUGCGUUUGUCCAAAUAAUAUUCAUCACAUGUUGUUCUGAUAGUUUUAUACUUCUGCAAAGUAUUAUCGUUUUGUUCAUGUUGUUCUAUCUUUUCACAGUUCAUGGGAUCCCAUUUUUGAGGUGAAAAAGUUCCAAAAUGGGAAUAAAGAUGGUGCUCCGAAGAUAUUGGCGCUAGGAUUUGUGAUGUAUUCCUCCUCAAUUACACAUACAUUGCCACCUUUUACAACAAAACUUCAGAGGCUCAUUUGUAACUUGAAGGUAGUCUUUUUCGGAAACUUGACAAAAUUUCUGUUCAAGAUUAUGUUUUAAUCACGCAUCAAAGUGAAACUUUCAGUCUUUUGCAUAGAUUGUUCUAACAUGGAGAGGUUACUACUCAAGCUGAUAUUGAAAUCUAAUCAGUGGAAUGAGGUAUUUUAUGCAAAGACUACUCUUUUUGCCCCUGAUUUUUGGUAGUCGUGAUCGUGACCUAUUUGACAAUGUUGAACAUAAGUUUGCAAGGUCGUUAUUGUUGACAUAUAACUUCUCUCAGGUCUUUCUUCUUUGCUUCUUUGUCUGUGCAUGUGUUUGUUAUUGUGCUUUGUGUGAAUUGGUUUGUAAUUUGUUUCUUAACUCAACAUGCAAGGAAAACCAAAAGUGAAAACUGGUUGGAGUAAAAAAUAUAGAUUUAUACUGUGUGAAAUUGGUGGCACAAUUAUUCAAGGUGGGAGCUGGCAGUGGAAAGGCUGGACUAAAGGGGUGUUACAGGACAACACACUAGAGUAAUUUUUGUAAAUGUUUUCUUUCAAGGUUAUAGAGACAGGGGUUAGCAGAAAACACAAUAGUACAUUAAUUUUCUGUUGUUAAUUGUUUUUUGAUAUGGUUCCUUCAUUAGCAAUUUUUUAUCGAAAUUUUUUAUUAUAAAAGAAUUAUGAAAGUUUUAGGGAAAAACACUCUAUUUCCCUAUUUGCUUCUUCUCUAUAGAUACUGAAAAGGGAAAAGAAGUAUGAAGAUUCAAAUAACAAUGGCUAGGUGAAUGCUUGUAGUUUUUAUCUCUUUUGGAAGUUACACAUCUGUUAAAUAUCUAUUAGAACAUAUUGAGAAAGUAAAAAAGUUAAAACCAAAAUUCAAUUGGAGUUUCAAAUGUAAAAAUGAGAGAAAAUAAAACUUAAUUGGAAAUGAUAUCUUCCAUGUUUCUGUGGGUGUAGUUUAUGAUGCUAUCCUCAUAUGAUUGUAAAUGUAUGUUUUCUUAGAAACGAUUAUAUUGUAACAGAGCAUUAAAUUUGGGCAUUAAAGUUCAGUGUCAUAUAAGUCGAAAGUGAUUGAACUGUCUUUUCAAGAGGGACUUAUUUUCAUCAAAUAAAAUAUUGCAUUAGUGAAUGUAUUAUGUGCGUGAUUGUUAUAUUCUUCCCCAAUUUUCUGAGAUUUUAGCAUCUUAUUUGUUUGUAAAUUGCUCUUUAGGAUACUUUUGUCCUCUUAUUGAUUUGUCUUUGGAAGGAGACAGUAAUAGUGUAAUAUGAAUAAUAGAAAGAAAUUAUCAAUGUCUUUGACUAUAUGUGCAUUUCAAACAAGUCAAUAUUAGUCUUAUUGGUCAAAAUAUUGCUUCGUGGGUAUCUCUUUUAAUGUAUGCCUACCUAAUCUGGAACAUGACCAAGGGAUUCUUCUGAAAUCCUACUAAAGUUAUGCUACUUUAUAGGGCACUGGUUAUUGUCUAGCAAUGUAAACUUUUAAUGCACACUUGUUCUGUAGGAGCCUCUUAUCAUUUGGAUUGUGUGUCAUCUGCUAUUAACAUGUGGCCUUCCAAUAUUUUGUUCGGACUUUUCACUUUGGCUAAGCAAAUUUUGUGAAAAUUUGCUGAUUUUAGUGUAUUUUCUUUGUCGCUUAAGGAAAAAUAACAACCGCUACAGGUACACUUAUGUCAAAAAACUAUAUGAACCAUAUAACAAAUUAAUAUGGAGUCAGCUCUCUCUCUUUCUCCGGUGUGUAUAAAGAGAUCAGUCACUCGCCAUUUUACAUUGCAAGCAAUGUUUGAGUAGUUAUAAGGCAUGAAAUAUUUUGUAAUCUUUCUAUACUCUUAAGGAGCUACUCUUUUCUACUCUGUUCCACUGAAUCUUUCUGCAUCCCUCUGUCUGGUGAAUUUUUAAGUCAUUUAUUUCUUUUGGUACUCUUAACUUAGAAAUAAUUCUUUCCGCUGCAAUUUAUUCUCAUGAAUACACAAAUUUUUGAUGUGAUAUUGUCUUAGCUCUGAUCGUGAAUUCAUAAGUUCGAUAGUGUACAGUAAGGACCAGACAUAGAGGGUCUCGCUGAACCUUUGGGUACUCCUGGAAGAAAAAAUUAGAUGUAAGGAAAGUAGAGUCGCAUAUUUAGAGGUGAGUGCCGAAAUAUGGAGAAAAAAGUACAACAUACAUUAGUAACAUCCAUGUAUGGUGAUGAACCAAACAAACAUGAAACACUAACUAGAAAAUUUCAGGAGGGUAAACUACACAAAAGGCUUUAAAUAGUAUGCUCUUUCUCCAAAUUCUUUCUGGUCACCUGUCCUGGUCAAUUGCUGAAUAUUUCUUCAAAAAAAUUGUGGCUCAACUUUCUUUUGGUAUUCUUAGAUUUUAAAUUCUAAAUACAUGGCAUUACUGAAUAUUUAUGAUUCAUUUAGUUAGAAUAUAAUGAUUGCAGUUUUGAUUUCACAUUUUUUUAAAGUGGAAGUUGAUCAAGGUGGGGGAAAAGGCACAACUGCUUCGGCUCUAAGACGUAAUUUUUGCACUUGCUACUCGAGUAGUGGUAGAAGUAAGUCAGAAACGAUCAAGCAGGUUCAUUAGAACUAAUAGCAAAAGAUUGAAGGUAGAAAUAUAAUUCUUUCUAAAAGGACCUGCAGUAUGAAAUAGAGGACAAGUUAUUUACUUUCAGCUUAUUUUAGACAAAGAAAGAUGAUUUUUAUGUUAUACUUAUACUAACUUGUGAAUUUUUAAGUUAAUUUAUGGAGCAACAAACGUAAAGAGAUAUUCAAAGAAAAGAAUCAGGCAUGAACAACUGGUGGCAAACCCCUCAGUAUAACUUCUCAAUUUUAUGUAACAUAAAAAUUUAAAAACUACUAAAAUAAUUAAAAGGGACUAAAAGAUUUACCCGAGGUUUCUAAUUCCUGGUUCAUCGUGCUACCAAUUGGGCUGCAAAGCUCAAGCAUAAUUUUACAUGAGGAAAGGGGAAAGAAAAAUACAUUGGGAUUGAUAGUGUUUUGGCAUAACAUGGAAACAAGAUGUUGGUCCUAAUAUGCAGAUAGAAUCAUAAUUCAUCACAAUAAUUGAACUCUCCCUUUUAUAUUGUUCGCCUAAACCGUUGAGUUUUCCACGCGAUCACUCUUUAACUUCCCCAACAAGGUCAUUAAUUUGCAAAGGAAAAAUGAUUUAGGCCACAAUCUUAGAACAUAUGGUUAAGCUUUCUUCAACCAAGUAGUAGUAGAAUUUUUGAUAGAUAACAGAGACGAUUCAUACCUGUUUAUGCAUUAUUUAGGUAAAUUUUAUGAGCAUCAAUCAUUGGUUCUGCUAAUUAUUUCAACAGGUCUUUUUUAUUCAUUCUUGAGAGUGAACAUGCUAUGAUAUGUUUUAAUGUAUGUUGAUUGAUUAGUCCUUGAUUGUCUUUCUUACAUGUUGCCCUUUAACUACUUUCUACUGACUAUCCUGAGUAUUUCGGUUGAUUUCCACAUGAGUUCUCUAAAGAAUCAUUAAAAAUGAUAGUCGAUUCAAACCUACGAUGUCAGGCCCGCACUGUUAUUUUGUUAAUCCUUUCUUCUCUGAUUAGAAAUCAAUAUGUGCAUAUGUGUGUAAUGUAGACUCUUACACCUUUUCUGCAGCUCUUUAAGGAUAUUACAAUGACAUUGAGCUUCCAUUACUAACAUCAUAUCCUUCUGAAUGUUUAAGUUUUUCUUAUUAAGCUAUAUUGAAUGGAUAAUUAUUAUUCCUGUAAUUGGUAGACACAUAUUUGAUUAUUUUCUCCAGCUAUUAGUGUUUCCAAGAGUUUAUCUCAGCUAUCCAUGGAGUCGUCUAACUCAAAGACCCAAAGAUGAUGUUCCUUCUGCUUCUGGUCCUGAAACACCCAAAGCUGCUAAGAUAUCUUCAACUGAUUUUUUUUUGUUUGUAUUUUGUCUUUCAAGAUCUAUGGUGCUUUCCUUUCUUUUUGAAGUUUCUUCCUAAAAGUUCUGAUCACUGCCAGUAUGGUGACAGCGAAAGAGAAAUAGGAAUGGUCCAACAUCAAGUUCAGAGCAAGAUGCACCAGAAACACCAGAACGAAGGGUGGAUUUCUGGUUUAUCAGCUCUGAAAAUUUAUUUAUUUAUCUUCCUUCUAUUUAUUUAUAUAUUAUCGUAUACUAAUUUAAUUUUCUUUAUAGACAUUAAGGAGAUUUGCUCAUAAUAGAGAGGGAGCACAGGAAAUUAGACUCAAAAAGGUAAUUAUCAUUAUUUUCUUAUAGGUCUGAAUUUAUCUUCUUCUUUUCUUUAUUUUGUGUAGUCGAUGUUCUUUGUGUAUGUUGUAUCUACUGAAAGAUCUGGAAAAUUCUACCAUGACGCAUUCUGUUUUCUUUGUCAAGUUCUUCUAAUGUUAUCAUUUGUCAAAACUGUUCUACAUGAUUGCAUUCACUUGCGCUAUUUUGAUCCUUACAUUCAAUCUGUCUGGCAACUUGAGACUAGUGGAGAUAGAGAUACUUCCUGAAAAUUUAUCCUUUUAACUUUGGGAAAGCAAGAUCGUUGAUAAAUGAAUAAAAACCCUUUGCGACUUACACAGGGGGUUAUCUUGUAUAGCCACACGUGAUUAAUGCAUUACAAUAUAAAUAUGGCUUUAUUGUACAUUAUAUCAGUUCGAUAUCCACUAGGUCUACACGUGUGUAUGUACAUCACUUUAGAGAAAUCCUGAGGCUAGCGAGGUAUAUCUAAAUUAUGAUACAUGACCCAUCUCUUCUUGGAGUUUGAACUAGAUAUAUGUAAAUUUUGAUAUAUAAUUCAUUUCUUCUGGGUCUGAAGUUUGAACUCAAGUCUCUGUAUGACAUUAUUGCAGGAUAAUAAUUCUUCUAAUUUCAUUUGGAGACACCUUCUGUAGAAGUGCUUUACAGAGAUUGAAGAUCAACAAAGAGGAGCAACUCGAAACUUUCUUUUGAAAUAGUUCAUAUUUUAUGGACAUUCAAGUACUUGAUAAAACUGCCUCCAUCUUUUGAGAUUCUGCUAAAAGCUUGAAUUUUUAUAUUUCUCUUUCUUUUCUUUAUGCAAUUGGAUAAAGAUGCAAUUUUCUAUGAGAAAUAUCUUCUUGGUAUUGAUUUUUUUUGUUGUUGGUAAUCUUGUAGUUGUACAAUAACAUAAACUAUGUUUG
rnacentral:lncRNA from 1 species